rnacentral:rRNA from 5 species
AAAUUGAAGAGUUUGAUCAUGGCUCAGAUUGAACGCUGGCGGCAGGCCUAACACAUGCAAGUCGAACGGUAACAGGAAGCAGCUUGCUGCUUUGCUGACGAGUGGCGGACGGGUGAGUAAUGUCUGGGAAACUGCCUGAUGGAGGGGGAUAACUACUGGAAACGGUGGCUAAUACCGCAUAACGUCGCAAGACCAAAGAGGGGGACCUUCGGGCCUCUUGCCAUCAGAUGUGCCCAGAUGGGAUUAGCUAGUUGGUGAGGUAACGGCUCACCAAGGCGACGAUCCCUAGCUGGUCUGAGAGGAUGACCAGCCACACUGGAACUGAGACACGGUCCAGACUCCUACGGGAGGCAGCAGUGGGGAAUAUUGCACAAUGGGCGCAAGCCUGAUGCAGCCAUGCCGCGUGUAUGAAGAAGGCCUUCGGGUUGUAAAGUACUUUCAGCGGGGAGGAAGGUGUUGUGGUUAAUAACCGCAGCAAUUGACGUUACCCGCAGAAGAAGCACCGGCUAACUCCGUGCCAGCAGCCGCGGUAAUACGGAGGGUGCAAGCGUUAAUCGGAAUUACUGGGCGUAAAGCGCACGCAGGCGGUCUGUCAAGUCGGAUGUGAAAUCCCCGGGCUCAACCUGGGAACUGCAUUCGAAACUGGCAGGCUUGAGUCUUGUAGAGGGGGGUAGAAUUCCAGGUGUAGCGGUGAAAUGCGUAGAGAUCUGGAGGAAUACCGGUGGCGAAGGCGGCCCCCUGGACAAAGACUGACGCUCAGGUGCGAAAGCGUGGGGAGCAAACAGGAUUAGAUACCCUGGUAGUCCACGCCGUAAACGAUGUCUACUUGGAGGUUGUGCCCUUGAGGCGUGGCUUCCGGAGCUAACGCGUUAAGUAGACCGCCUGGGGAGUACGGCCGCAAGGUUAAAACUCAAAUGAAUUGACGGGGGCCCGCACAAGCGGUGGAGCAUGUGGUUUAAUUCGAUGCAACGCGAAGAACCUUACCUGGUCUUGACAUCCACAGAAGAAUCCAGAGAUGGAUUUGUGCCUUCGGGAACUGUGAGACAGGUGCUGCAUGGCUGUCGUCAGCUCGUGUUGUGAAAUGUUGGGUUAAGUCCCGCAACGAGCGCAACCCUUAUCCUUUGUUGCCAGCGGUUAGGCCGGGAACUCAAAGGAGACUGCCAGUGAUAAACUGGAGGAAGGUGGGGAUGACGUCAAGUCAUCAUGGCCCUUACGACCAGGGCUACACACGUGCUACAAUGGCGCAUACAAAGAGAAGCGACCUCGCGAGAGCAAGCGGACCUCAUAAAGUGCGUCGUAGUCCGGAUUGGAGUCUGCAACUCGACUCCAUGAAGUCGGAAUCGCUAGUAAUCGUGGAUCAGAAUGCCACGGUGAAUACGUUCCCGGGCCUUGUACACACCGCCCGUCACACCAUGGGAGUGGGUUGCAAAAGAAGUAGGUAGCUUAACCUUCGGGAGGGCGCUUACCACUUUGUGAUUCAUGACUGGGGUGAAGUCGUAACAAGGUAACCGUAGGGGAACCUGCGGUUGGAUCACCUCCUUA